AGCUGUGUAGCUCAGUGAUUAGGGCACCAGUCGUAGAAUGUCUGGGGUCUUGGGUUCAGUCCCCAACAUGGCCA